GCCCCAGUAGCUCAGCCGGACAGAGCAACUGCCUUCUAAGCAGUGGGUCGCGCGUUCGAAUCGCGCCUGGGGUG
rnacentral:tRNA from 2 species